AUACGGAGGGUGCAAGCGUUACUCGGAAUCACUGGGCGUAAAGCGCGCGCAGGCGGCUUGGUAAGUUGGAUGUGAAAGCCUACGGCUCAACCGUAGAACUGCAUCCAAAACUGUCAAGCUAGAGUGUGGGAGAGGAAGAUGGAAUUAGUUGUGUAGGGGUAAAAUCCGUAGAGAUAACUAGGAAUACCAAAAGCGAAGGCAAUCUUCUGGGACACUACUGACGCUGAGGCGCGAAAGCGUGGGGAGCAAACAGGAUUAGAAACCCCAGUAGUCC
rnacentral:rRNA from 1 species